UAGCAAGAAAAUUUUUUGAAUUAAAUUUCUAGAAACCUAAAGAGCUACCUUAGUUUUGGUUUAGCCCCAGGUAAAGGUGGGUGUGGCAUAACCCUAUUUAAAAUUUAAGGUAGAAAUUAAAUGUUAUUCGUUUUAGGUGAUAGCUAGUUAUAAUAUAAAGAUAUAUAAGUAUCGGGUAUAAUUUUAUUAUGUGUUUAUAUCAUAUACAUACAAUAACUUAUUUACUUAGUUGUACGAGGGUAAGCUCGUAUAAAUUUAAUUUAGCUAAAAUUAUAUAUGAAUCUAGGCUUGAAAUUAGCCAUGGUUUGGAAUUUGUUAAAAAUGCAUAUGUACAUAAAACUUUGUAAUAUAUUAAAUUUAUGUUAUUUAAUUAUGUAAUCAAGGCAUAGUUAAUUUAUGCUAAAAUGAGUAUUAUUAUAGGCUAAAACAAAAAAUAGAUUAAAUUUUUUUUAAAAAUUUUUUAUAAAUAUUAUAAAAUAUAUGAUAGGAACUCGGCAAAAAUUUAGCUCCGCCUGUUUAGCAAAAACAUGUCUCUUUG
rnacentral:rRNA from 1 species